rnacentral:rRNA from 1 species
CACGUAGGGGCCAAGCGUUGUCCGGAAUCAUUGGGCGUAAAGAGCGCGUAGGCGGCCCGAUAAGUCCGCUGUGAAAGUCAAGGGCUCAACCCUUGAAUGCCGGUGGAAACUGUCGGGCUAGAGUCCGGAAGAGGCGAGUGGAAUUCCUGGUGUAGCGGUGAAAUGCGCAGAUAUCAGGAGGAACACCGAUGGCGAAGGCAGCUCGCUGGGACGGUACUGACGCUGAGGCGCGAAAGCGUGGGGAGCAAACAGG